ensembl:lncRNA
CGCGAAUUGGAGGUCAGAAUCAUUCUCGAUCUGGCAAAACAGUCUCAUGGCAUCCUCAGAUGUCAGGAUGGUCAAAUUCAUUGGGGAAAGGGGUUCUGUGUCCGAGUCUGUUGUGAGGUCUACGACCGUUUUGAGGUCUGUGUCUGGUGCCUCUGUUUCAGCAAGCAGUUUCACAGCAUCCUCUGGUGUGAGGACGGUCAAAAUCAUUGGGGAAAGGGGUUCUGUCUCCAAGUCUGCGUUUGUUGGGAGGUCUGUGUUUGUUGGGGGGUCUACGUCCAUCGUGAGGUCUGUAUUUGUUGGGGGCUCUGUGUCCAUCGUGAGGUCUGUGUUUGUUGGGGGGUCUACAUCCAUCGUGAGGUCUGUGUUUGUUGUGGGGUCUGCGUCCAUCGUGAGGUCUGUGUUUGUUGUGAGGUCUGAGUCUGUUGUUUCUGCAGGAAAUUCCACAGUCUCCAUCUUGCUGUGGAAGGUCUCAUCCAUCUGGACACCCCCA